UCAAGGGGGAACGAACGGCAGCGGCAGCAGGAAGUAAACUGCUAAAAUAAAUUCUUCACAUGAAUUCCACAGUCACGACGCUUUGAAACAUGUCGCGUAACUCGUUCGAACAACAAAACGUCGUUUAUUUGGUCCGAAUUUUCAUACUUUUAUACGUUUUGAGGUUUUGCUAGCUAAAAUAAAAUAAACUUCCGGUUCCGUGUCCCGCCUCCCAGUACGUUAACCUUGUCCAACCAAUGAGAUUCUAGGAUCCAAAAAAGCGCGAUUUCGAAGUUUAAAUGGCUGUCGAUCAAAGCCAAUGGCGACAGAAGCGGAGACACCUAGGGGAGACCCAUCAGGACCAUUUGUCUACGAGACUGCAGUUGAACACACAGGUGGCGCUGCAGGUACUGCACGUGUGUGAUGACGAUGACAACAACAACAACAGAAGCCUCCUUGAUGCGAGCGGUUGAUGGAAGACUCCGUCACAGCAGCUCCAUACAUGUGUAUGUAGCUCCACAGAAAAGACAAAAGAGUCAAAGAGCGGCGUCAGAUCUUUGGAGGCUUCCUGCGUCUGAAAAUCAAAGGCCUCAUUCAAAACCAAAUAGAGCAACAUCAGUGGAUUACAAGGCCGCUCUCAGCGGGGCGCCGUGGCGGAGGUCAGAGGUCAACACGGGGAGAGAAAACGGCAGAGUCAGGUGACCAUGGAAAAAAACGCUCACUGAAUGAGAAAAGUCUGAUUUUUAUUCAGAGGAACUUAUUUACCUUCCUGUAAUCUGUAGUCUGUGUUUCCACCGACCUCAAAGUUCAGUAAAUAAUCUGAGAACAGCCUGAACCUCACUGUCCGUCCACUUAUUACAUUAAAUGACAUGUCAUUUAAUUAGACGCUUUUCCACUAUACAGUUCCAGCUCGACUCGACUCAGUUUGGCAUCGUUUUCCAUGACUGUAGUACCUCCUCAAUGUGGGCGGAGUCACCUGCAGUGACGUGGUUUUCUUUCUGACUGAAAGUGAAUCAUUAGACUCAGUGGAUUAAAAAGAUUUGUUCACAGAA